UGUCUUUUGUUACACAGAGUGAACGAGAUCUUUGGUUUUGCCUUUGCUGACUGCUGAUCUGAUCGUCUCAAGUCUGGUGACCUGUUGCAGAAGAUCCUCUCUCUCUAUCAUUAUAAGCAAUUCUGUCUAUCCUAUCACUCUCCUGACUCUAUCUAAUUUGACAGCCAUUCUAUCUUGUAUCCCUCUAUCUCUACUGCUCUAUCUAAUUUGACAGCCAUUCUAUCUUGUAUCCCUCUAUCUCUACUGCUCUAUCUAAUUUGACAGCCAUUCUAUCUUGUAUCCCUCUAUCUCUACUGCUCUAUCUAAUUUGACAGCCAUUCUAUCUUGUAUCCCUCUAUCUCUACUGCUCUAUCUAAUUUGACAGCCAUUCUAUCUUGUAUCCCUCUAUCCCAAGCGCUCUAUCUAAUUUCAGAAUCCAAGUUUUCAGAAAUCCAAGUUUUCAGAAUCCAAGUUGUCAGAAAUCCAAGUACCAGUACUUGAUCUAUCUGUUAAAGAAUUCUGAGAGAUCUCUGCUCUCACUGCUCCUUCUUUCCUGUCAUUAAACUCUCUCACAUUCAGUCAAUUUGCUGGAAAUUACAAUUAGAAAGUUGAAUAUACAGUAGUAGAAUUGCAGUACAGUAGAACUUAUAGUAGAAACUACUUUUACAGCCCUACAUUUGUAGUUUUAACUUGGCAUUACACUUUUGAAUAAACACUGAUAGUUUGGCUUACUGGUGCAAUUACUUUGAUACAUUGUAUAAAAUAUACACCUUUUAUAAGGUGUAUUUGUAAUAAGAUAAUCUGACUAUUCUGUAAUAUAUUCAGAGUGCUAUAUUCACAUAAAUAUUAAAUUUGAUUCAUAUACAUUUUUCAAGUCUGUUUCAUUGGCUAUAACAUUUGACUACAAGUUUAUACUAUUAUUAUUUAAGGACAAACCGUUUUUUGUCACUCAGUGUAAGUGUUCAGUUACAGUUGUCAUCUAGAGGCUGCCCUGAGAACCCAGACUUCCUGUUUCCUGACUGCUGCAGAACAUCCAGCUGAAGAAUCCCCAUCACCUGUCAUCUGAUCACCACACCAUCACAGCUCCUUAUAUUUGCUUUAAAUUUUAA